AUCCGCCUACGGGACGCAGCAGUGGGGAAUAUUGGGCAAUGGGCGCAAGCCUGACCCAGCAACGCCGCGUGAAGGAAGAAGGCUUUCGGGUUGUAAACUUCUUUUCUGGGGGACGAACAAAUGACGGUACCCCAGGAAUAAGCCACGGCUAACUACGUGCCAGCAGCCGCGGUAAUACGUAGGGAGCAAGCGUUAUCCGGAUUUACUGGGUGUAAAGGGCGUGUAGGCGGGCUUGUAAGUCAGAAGUGAAAUCUGGGGGCUUAACUCCCAAACUGCUUUUGAAACUGAGGGUCUUGAGUGAUGGG
rnacentral:rRNA from 1 species